rnacentral:rRNA from 4 species
UUAAGCGACUAAGCGUACACGGUGGAUGCCCUGGCAGUCAGAGGCGAUGAAGGACGUGCUAAUCUGCGAUAAGCGUCGGUGAGGUGAUAUGAACCGUUAUAACCGGCGAUUUCCGAAUGGGGAAACCCAGUGUGUUUCGACACACUAUCAUUAACUGAAUCCAUAGGUUAAUGAGGCGAACCGGGGGAACUGAAACAUCUAAGUACCCCGAGGAAAAGAAAUCAACCGAGAUUCCCCCAGUAGCGGCGAGCGAACGGGGAGCAGCCCAGAGCCUGAAUCAGUGUGUGUGUUAGUGGAAGCGUCUGGAAAGGCGCGCGAUACAGGGUGACAGCCCCGUACACAAAAAUGCACAUGCUGUGAGCUCGAUGAGUAGGGCGGGACACGUGGUAUCCUGUCUGAAUAUGGGGGGACCAUCCUCCAAGGCUAAAUACUCCUGACUGACCGAUAGUGAACCAGUACCGUGAGGGAAAGGCGAAAAGAACCCCGGCGAGGGGAGUGAAAAAGAACCUGAAACCGUGUACGUACAAGCAGUGGGAGCCUCUUUAUGGGGUGACUGCGUACCUUUUGUAUAAUGGGUCAGCGACUUAUAUUCUGUAGCAAGGUUAACCGAAUAGGGGAGCCGAAGGGAAACCGAGUCUUAACUGGGCGUUAAGUUGCAGGGUAUAGACCCGAAACCCGGUGAUCUAGCCAUGGGCAGGUUGAAGGUUGGGUAACACUAACUGGAGGACCGAACCGACUAAUGUUGAAAAAUUAGCGGAUGACUUGUGGCUGGGGGUGAAAGGCCAAUCAAACCGGGAGAUAGCUGGUUCUCCCCGAAAGCUAUUUAGGUAGCGCCUCGUGAAUUCAUCUCCGGGGGUAGAGCACUGUUUCGGCAAGGGGGUCAUCCCGACUUACCAACCCGAUGCAAACUGCGAAUACCGGAGAAUGUUAUCACGGGAGACACACGGCGGGUGCUAACGUCCGUCGUGAAGAGGGAAACAACCCAGACCGCCAGCUAAGGUCCCAAAGUCAUGGUUAAGUGGGAAACGAUGUGGGAAGGCCCAGACAGCCAGGAUGUUGGCUUAGAAGCAGCCAUCAUUUAAAGAAAGCGUAAUAGCUCACUGGUCGAGUCGGCCUGCGCGGAAGAUGUAACGGGGCUAAACCAUGCACCGAAGCUGCGGCAGCGACACUAUGUGUUGUUGGGUAGGGGAGCGUUCUGUAAGCCUGUGAAGGUGUACUGUGAGGUAUGCUGGAGGUAUCAGAAGUGCGAAUGCUGACAUAAGUAACGAUAAAGCGGGUGAAAAGCCCGCUCGCCGGAAGACCAAGGGUUCCUGUCCAACGUUAAUCGGGGCAGGGUGAGUCGACCCCUAAGGCGAGGCCGAAAGGCGUAGUCGAUGGGAAACAGGUUAAUAUUCCUGUACUUGGUGUUACUGCGAAGGGGGGACGGAGAAGGCUAUGUUGGCCGGGCGACGGUUGUCCCGGUUUAAGCGUGUAGGCUGGUUUUCCAGGCAAAUCCGGAAAAUCAAGGCUGAGGCGUGAUGACGAGGCACUACGGUGCUGAAGCAACAAAUGCCCUGCUUCCAGGAAAAGCCUCUAAGCAUCAGGUAACAUCAAAUCGUACCCCAAACCGACACAGGUGGUCAGGUAGAGAAUACCAAGGCGCUUGAGAGAACUCGGGUGAAGGAACUAGGCAAAAUGGUGCCGUAACUUCGGGAGAAGGCACGCUGAUAUGUAGGUGAAGCGACUUGCUCGUGGAGCUGAAAUCAGUCGAAGAUACCAGCUGGCUGCAACUGUUUAUUAAAAACACAGCACUGUGCAAACACGAAAGUGGACGUAUACGGUGUGACGCCUGCCCGGUGCCGGAAGGUUAAUUGAUGGGGUUAGCGGUAACGCGAAGCUCUUGAUCGAAGCCCCGGUAAACGGCGGCCGUAACUAUAACGGUCCUAAGGUAGCGAAAUUCCUUGUCGGGUAAGUUCCGACCUGCACGAAUGGCGUAAUGAUGGCCAGGCUGUCUCCACCCGAGACUCAGUGAAAUUGAACUCGCUGUGAAGAUGCAGUGUACCCGCGGCAAGACGGAAAGACCCCGUGAACCUUUACUAUAGCUUGACACUGAACAUUGAGCCUUGAUGUGUAGGAUAGGUGGGAGGCUUUGAAGUGUGGACGCCAGUCUGCAUGGAGCCGGCCUUGAAAUACCACCCUUUAAUGUUUGAUGUUCUAACGUUGGCCCCUGAUCGGGGUUGCGGACAGUGUCUGGUGGGUAGUUUGACUGGGGCGGUCUCCUCCUAAAGAGUAACGGAGGAGCACGAAGGUUGGCUAAUCCUGGUCGGACAUCAGGAGGUUAGUGCAAUGGCAUAAGCCAGCUUGACUGCGAGCGUGACGGCGCGAGCAGGUGCGAAAGCAGGUCAUAGUGAUCCGGUGGUUCUGAAUGGAAGGGCCAUCGCUCAACGGAUAAAAGGUACUCCGGGGAUAACAGGCUGAUACCGCCCAAGAGUUCAUAUCGACGGCGGUGUUUGGCACCUCGAUGUCGGCUCAUCACAUCCUGGGGCUGAAGUAGGUCCCAAGGGUAUGGCUGUUCGCCAUUUAAAGUGGUACGCGAGCUGGGUUUAGAACGUCGUGAGACAGUUCGGUCCCUAUCUGCCGUGGGCGCUGGAGAACUGAGGGGGGCUGCUCCUAGUACGAGAGGACCGGAGUGGACGCAUCACUGGUGUUCGGGUUGUCAUGCCAAUGGCACUGCCCGGUAGCUAAAUGCGGAAGAGAUAAGUGCUGAAAGCAUCUAAGCACGAAACUUGCCCCGAGAUGAGUUCUCCCUGAGACUUAGAGUCUCCUGAAGGAACGUUGAAGACGACGACGUUGAUAGGCCGGGUGUGUAAGCGCAGCGAUGCGUUGAGCUAACCGGUACUAAUGAACCGUGAGGCUUAACCUU